rnacentral:rRNA from 1 species
GACGAACGCUGGCGGCGUGCUUAACACAUGCAAGUCGAACGGAAAGGCCCUGCUUUUGUUGGGUGCUCGAGUGGCGAACGGGUGAGUAACACGUGAGUAACCUGCCCUUGACUUUGGGAUAACUUCAGGAAACUGGGGCUAAUACCGGAUAGGAGCUCCUGCUGCAUGGUGGGGGUUGGAAAGUUUCGGCGGUUGGGGAUGGACUCGCGGCUUAUCAGCUUGUUGGUGGGGUAGUGGCUUACCAAGGCUUUGACGGGUAGCCGGCCUGAGAGGGUGACCGGCCACAUUGGGACUGAGAUACGGCCCAGACUCCUACGGGAGGCAGCAGUGGGGAAUAUUGCACAAUGGGCGGAAGCCUGAUGCAGCAACGCCGCGUGCGGGAUGACGGCCUUCGGGUUGUAAACCGCUUUCGCCUGUGACGAAGCGUGAGUGACGGUGAUGGGUAAAGAAGCACCGGCUAACUACGUG